GAAACCACGUCUGGGGAUCAUGCCGACAGCUGUGAAUCUCCGCCGAGGUUUAGUACAGACGUCGAACAUCAUAACUUUAUAUUUUAUAUUUAAAUUGAAUCAGCAGAGAAAAUCUCCUUUAAGUCAUUUUAUUUAUAUCUAUGAAGAAAAUCAAAAGAAAAUUCUGAGAUAUAAAAUCAGCUUCAUGAAAAAAGACUUUUUGAAAUGUGUGUGUGUGUGUGUGUGUGUUUGUGUGUGUAGUGUGUGUGUCUGUGUGUGUGUGUGUGUGUGUGUGUUUGUGUGUGUUUGUGUGUGUGUGUGUGUGUGUGUAGUGUGUGUGUCUGUGUGUGUGUGUGUGUGUGUGUGUGUGUUUGUGUGUGUGUGUGUGUAGUGUGUGUGUCUGUGUGUGUGUGUGUAGUGUGUGUGUCUGUCUGUGUGUGUGUGUGUUUGUGUGUGUGUGUGUUUGUGUGUGUUUGUGUGUGUGUGUGUCUUUGUGUCUGUGUGUGUGACUGUGUGUGUGUGUAGUGUGUGUCUGUGUGUGUGUGUGUGUAGUGUGUGUGUGUGUGUGUGUGUGUGUGUGUGUGUAGUGUGUGUGUGUGUGUGUGUGUGUGUGUGUGUGUAGUGUGUGUGUGUGUGUGUGUGUGUGUGUCGUCUUGCUUUGCGUCUGUUUAUCAAUCAGGGAGAUCUUUGAAGUCCGAUGGAGCUUCUGACCUCGAACAUGAAGCUCGCAGCGGAGCGAGGAGAGCGCGGCGUCCAGCGAGGAAUCACGUCAGGCGGACGGUCGAUCAUGUUUAGUUUUCAUAUCAAAUCAAAGAUGUUUGAGAGGCUCCUAAAGGUUUCUGAUCCGAGGCUGAUCGUCACAGAGUCAGAGCGGACGCCUUAACGAGUCUUUAGUUCCUAGUUUUCUCAUUUCUCUUCAGAUUCUAACCCAGUUCUUAUUGUAACACAUUCUCGUUGUCCCUCUUUGAGAUGAAGUGGUUCUCAGCCGGUUCCCCUCAGUUGGAGUUGAUCGCAAACCAAACUGAUCAGAUUUAUUUAAUUAGACGGUGCAAAACAUGUGACAGAAGAAUGAGCGACUUUUUUGAUCCAGUAGAUGUCGCCCUUGAGCACCAACAGGAAACCAAAACAAACUUCUGUUAGGCCACGCCUCCAACUCUCCCCUCCCCUCGCAUUUUGCACAAAGAAGUUUAGCACAAGCAGUUUACUAAAUAGCCCUUUACUCGAGCUGCAAUCACCUGUGUCCUGCGUUGUUGUGUUAGCAUGCUAAUGUUAGCGCUCUUUAGUUAGCUCGUAGCUUCACAUUGUUGUGUUAGCAUGCUAAUUUUAGCGCUCUUUAGUUAGCUCCUUCAUGUAAACUGACACAGAAUGAGCGUGAUCUAAAAACUCUUACUAACAUCCAAAUAAUCAGUGAGUAUGUUCUUCUUCUUCUCUCUAGUUCUUGACUAAAACAGCUUUUAUACACAAGGGGAGGAGCCGGCCGUCCCGUCCAUGUAAACACGACUCUGACAACAACACAGCCAGCGGGACUCGAGCUUCUCCCUCAUUGUAGACAGUCAUGACUCAGAGACACAUUUACACAGGACAGACUUGAUGAUUUAAGUGUCGCACAUCCUUCCUUUAAAAAGCGCUUCAUAGACUUUUUUGGAGUCACAUAUUCGCUCCCCAUCGAUAACAGCUCCCUGACCCACCCGUUGAGAACCACGUCACUAAACGAGGAUGACACCGACCAGCUGAGUGAGAGCAGCCUUCAUAAGUCACAGACUGAUGGAAACUGUUCAGCUCCAUCCUCCUCCUCCAUCCAUCCAGCUGCUUUUCAGACACGCACACAUGUUGCAGAGUUAUUACCGAUCAUCACCGAGGUGUCCUUACCAUCGAGCUUCAGGUCACAAAGAGGAGAGGCUGAACGAGGAUCCUGGCCUAGAAAAGUCUUUUAAUUGUGAUCCAAAUCGCUUCAGACGUUUGGAGUAAAAAAUGAAAAACCAGACGGUCUGAGUCAAAGAGAAAGUGAGAGUAAGUCAUGCCUUAAAGGAGGUGGAGGUGGACGCUGGUUAAAGGAGCUCGUUAUUGAGUCCUCAGAGAGCGGGGGGGGGGGGAGAGGGGAGAGAUAUUGAUGUGUUAAAUGCUGCAUGAGGGAGGCGGCGUUGUGUUCCUGACAGGGCGCCCUCAUUCUCCCUCCUCACCACAACAAAUCAUCUGGGAGCAAACUGUCCUGACUCCUCCUCCUCACGGUGGAAGAAAAACAAAAAACACAGCGAGGGUACAAAUCAGACGGAGUUACAAGACAGGUUUGAUUUGACUGACGGCGUUUAGUCUCAUAAAAACCUCUUUUUUCACAUUCCACGUUUGACGCCUUGAGUUUGACCUCCUGUCUCAUUUUGUUUGUUUAAAUCACUUUUUCACUCGUUCAGGACGAGCACAGACGCUGACGACUUUACUUGAAAACCGGCUUUUUUUAAAAAACUUUGCUUUGCUGUUAUUUGAAAGGAAUAAAGUCGAGGUAGCACCUGAAGUAUGAGCCCUGUGUGGGGGCGUGUGAUCUGUACUGUAUGUCUUGUGAUCUUUGUAUCGUUUGAACCAAAGAGAGGAUGUUCCUGCCGAGUUUCAUUUCCAGAAACCUCGAGGGGCCUUAAGAUGUUCAAUCAUUCAGUCAUGAAGAAGAA